rnacentral:rRNA from 1 species
UACGUAGGGUGCGAGCGUUGUCCGGAAUUAUUGGGCGUAAAGAGCUCGUAGGCGGUUUGUCGCGUCUGCUGUGAAAACUGGGGGCUCAACCCCCAGCCUGCAGUGGGUACGGGCAGACUAGAGUGUGGUAGGGGAGAUUGGAAUUCCUGGUGUAGAGGUGAAAUUCGUAGAUAUCAGGAGGAACACCGGUGGCGAAAGCGGCUCUCUGGCCCGAUACUGACGCUCAUGUACGAAAGCGUGGGGAGCAAACAGG